rnacentral:lncRNA from 10 species
GGAAGGUACUAUGAGAAAAAAAGAAGCAGUAAACUGCCCCUUCUACCAAUGUCUAAGAUGAACGGGAAAAAUGCAUAUAAAUGGAAUUUUUCUUUUACGUGAUGAUACAGUGUUUUGGUGUCCCAAAGAAAUAAAAUCCAGCACUGUCCAAUUGAAGUAUAAUGCAAGCCACAUUUCUAGUAGCCAUAUUUUAAAAAGUAACAAUAAAGUGUUGAAAUUUACCUUAAUACUGCCUUUUUUAACCAAAUAGGUCCAAAAUAUUAUUAUUUUGACAGGCAUUAUGAGUUGAGUUGUGUCCCCCACAAAAUUCAUGUUGAAGCCCUAACCAGCAGUACCACAGAAUGUGACUAUAUUGAGAGAUGGGGUUUUAAAAGAAGUAAUUAAGUUAAAAUGGUUUCAUUAGGGUGGGCCCUAAUCCAAUAUAACUGAUGUUCUUAUAACAAGAGGCAAUAUGGACAUGGGCACACACAGAGGGAAGAUCAUGUGAUGACAUGAGUCAAGAAGAGAGGCCUCAGAAGAAACCAACCUGACAACACCUGGAUCUCAGACUUCUACCUUCUAGAAUUGUGAAAAAUACAUUUAUCUUGCUUAACCCACCUAGUCUAUGAUAAUUUGUUAUGGCAUCUCUAGCAAACUAAUACAAUAUGUAAUCAAUUAAUGAAAAUAAAAUGUAUUA